CACAAUGUUUGUUAUUAGUCACAAUUUCACAAAGAUAUUCAUUCUCCUUUCAAUCCCAGAACAAAGAGUGCCUCGGGGGAAAACACCAGCAGCCACACCAUCCAAAAAGCAUCUCUGCAUCGUGCAGCUCUUCCCCAGCCUACAGUACAAGCCAUGGAGGAAAGAGCACAGCAGCGUGCCGAGCGCCGGAGAGAGAUAGAGGAGCGGAGGAGACAGAAACAGGAGGAGAAACUGGCUCAAAUGAAGUCAGCUGAGGAGGAAAGACUCAGAGCUGAGGAAGAGGAGAAACAAGGGGAGGUAGAGAGGAAGAAGGAAGAGAAGAGGCAGCAGAGAAAGGUGUGUGGUCAAACACAUUAUCAUGGGUUUUACAUCAUUGGAUCAUGUUACUUUUAAU
rnacentral:lncRNA from 1 species